AUUGAACGCUGGCGGCAUGCCUUACACAUGCAAGUCGAACGGUAACAGGUCUUCGGAUGCUGACGAGUGGCGAACGGGUGAGUAAUACAUCGGAACGUGCCUAGUAGUGGGGGAUAACUACUCGAAAGAGUGGCUAAUACCGCAUGAGAUCUACGGAUGAAAGCAGGGGAUCGCAAGACCUUGUGCUACUAGAGCGGCCGAUGGCAGAGUAGGUAGUUGGUGGGAUAAAAGCUUACCAAGUCGACGAUCUGUAGCUGGUCUGAGAGGACGAUCAGCCACACUGGGACUGAGACACGGCCCAGACUCCGACGGGAGGCAGCAGUGGGGAAUUUUGGACAAUGGGCGCAAGCCUGAUCCAGCAAUGCCGCGUGCAGGAUGAAGGCCUUCGGGUUGUAAACUGCUUUUGUACGGAACGAAAAGCCCUGGGUUAAUACCCUGGGGUCAUGACGGUACCGUAAGAAUAAGCACCGGCUAACUACGUGCCAGCCGCCGCGGUAA
rnacentral:rRNA from 1 species